GCUAGAAUAGUUCAGCUGGGACAGCAUUAGACUGAAGAUCUAAAGGUCCCUGGUUUGAUCCCGGGUUCCGGCA
rnacentral:tRNA from 1 species